AGUAGUCCACUGUGGUCUAAGGCUGAAAUGCGGUGACCAGACUAGAAAACAUGUCAAUGGUGGUCCUUGUGAAAGGGUUGACAAAGAAGUCUAGGGAGACGGUGACACGUCGGAUCUCUGGCCUAUGUGAGUGCUAAAACAAUUAUGGUAUUGGUUGCUUAAAGGUGUCAUAUUGCCACUACGACUUUGAGAAUGGUGAAUGGUUGUGGCAAUAUGACUUUAAGCAGCCAAUAAUAUAAUCUUUUUAGCACUGAUGGUGGCUAGAGAACCGGCAUGCCACUGUCUCCGUAGAUUUUUUUUGUCAACCCUUUUGCAAGUCCCACCAUUGAUCAAUUUUCCGAGCGGGUCACCGUAUUUUAGCCUCAGACCACGGUGGACUACU